CUACUUUUCCAUUUUGACAGCUCAAAAACUGUUCUGUAGUCUCUGAAUUUGGAGACUUAACAAAUUAAAACCCUUUUGCUAUGGUAGAACUGUUCUCCUGAACUGAACUAAAACCACAGGCAACCCUUGGUCUGCUGUCUCUGUCAUACAUGUUCAACUUUAUAAACACUUUGUCAAUUAAUAUCACAGGUAUCCUGCUAGACACUGAAGUGAAAUCACAUGCUUUCUUGGAAAUUGUCUUUAGUUUACUGUUCCAAAUGAUUUUCUGACCUAUUUAAAAAGUCACCAGAACUGAAACCACAAAUCUAGUUCACCUCUACUUUAAAAUACAAGUUCCAAAUCAUCAUUAUAUAUUUUACAUAUGUAUACCUUUAUCUCUGUCAGCAAUGGGAUUUAUCUGAAUAAUGGGGAUAAAUUGACAGGUUACAGGAGUGGUAUGAAUGGUGCACGGAUCAUCACAUAAAAUCCAGGUGAGAAGGUCAGAUUGGAAGAAUAGAAAACAUCUCUCAGUUGUAUCACAAUCUGUGAGCCAUUUCUAAAAUGAACACUCCAAAAAAAAAAUGCUUUCAUGGGAUAUGAGUGUCACUGGCAGGGCCUACAUUUGUUGUUCUUCCCUAAUCACUUUUGAGCAGUUAAGAGCCAACCAUGUUGCCAUGGGUCUGGAGUCAUAUGCAGGCCAGACUGGUUAUGGAUGGCAGAUUUUCUUCCCUAAAUGACAUUAGUGAACCAGAAGAGAUUUUACAAUUGAUGAACAGUUGACAUGGUAAGCAUUACUGAGACUCGCUCCCUAUUCCAGAUUUUAAUUGAACUUUCAUUCCAUUGGCUGCCAUGGUGAAAUUUGAACCACUGUUCCAGAGCAUAAGUCUGGAUCAUUAAUCCAGUGUCAUUAUCAUUAUGCCAUUGCUAAAUGAAUAGUUUAUAGAAAUAUGGAAGUACCAUGCUUCUUGUACUGCAGGCCCUUAGGUUUGCUUAGCAUUUUCUAACAGUGUCUUUUUACAACUGAAUAAAAUUCAUGAGAAUCCAUUUACACUAACACAUUUCCUGUUGCAACUGUAUUUACAUAGCUUGUUUCCACACUUGUUCUUUAUGCAAAUAUGCUUUUGUUUAAUUUAUUUGCUUCUGGGUUUUCAGAUUGGUCUGUAGAGUAGGUAUUAAUGUUCGUUGCUUUUUGACAUCUUCUGAUUCCAUCUCUAACCCAGGUAACACUAUGCAUUUAAGCUUUAAAUGUUUCUGAUUGUUUCUUUUUAAAAAUGAGUAAAAUGUGAUAUUUGAGUACUCCAGAAUUGAAAAUGGAGGUUGAUUACAUAGCCUGGUAAAGUAAGCAACAAUCUACUUCUUACCCCAUUCUUUUUCUUUCUUUAACUUAGAUUUAAUUGCUUUCAUAAAAUAAAUGUAUUGUUUUUAACAGCUUAUUAGAUACUUUCUCUGACGAGUUUGGAAGAUUGGAUUUUCAACGCUCGCAGCAUGGUUCUGGUAUGAGCAAACGGUCCCAGGCAAAAAGAUUUGUGGCCGCUCUGAACAGGAUAGCAGAACAGACUUAUAAGACUGUCUUUGAAUUCCAUCAACUCAAGCAGUUAGCUAGAGAAAUACAGAUACAGGUGUCUGACUUUGAAGGAUUUAUCCAUUCUUUGAAUGACCAGGGAUACUUGUUAAAAAAGGGACCAAGACUUUAUCAGCUCCAGACUGUGUGAUUGCAGAUUGAUCACAAAAAUAUCUUCGUGGAAUUAUACUAACUCCCUUUAAAGGAGAACAAAAGCAAGGAGAACUGAAAUAACAUCCACCUUUGGUGAUAUGGUUAUUAUGUUAUAAAUGUUUCAAGGUUCAAAUUAGUAAAAUAGUGUGGAAUGGUUGAACCAUUUAAUAAUAACCUGUGAAGAGAAAGUAGUCUUAACUUUUCAGGUUCAGUGACCUUUCUGAUGUGAAGAAGUGUCACUAGAUUUGCAAUGUUAAUUCUGCCUUCUCUCCACAGAUGCAGAGGUUCUCCAGAAAUUUCUGUUUUUAUUUCAGAUUUCCAGUAUGCACAGUUAUUUGUUCAAUUUAAUUAAUAUCUGAGAUUUGAACAAAAUACUCAUCUGGCUUUAAAAAUGUGACUAGCCCAUUCUGGCAAGAUAGAUGCACACAUUUGUUUCAUUUCAUAUAGUUUAGAAAGUAUUGAUUGGAAUAGAUUUGUAUGUCCUCAUUACUUCCCCAAUUUCAAAGAUAAACGUUACUGUUGAACUCUAAAUUUGAGCUAGAGCAGGAUGUUGAUAAUUUGCUGUGUUACAGAAAGAUGGGCUUGUACCUACAGCCUGUGUAUUCCACAUAACUAGUUCUGGGGUUGGCUGUAGUUUUGAAGAAAGAAUGUAAAUUGGUUUGGAAACAUCAGAAGGAAGAAAGUUGCACUACAUUGUUCCUGUGGACUUUCCAUCUUGUUGGUGCAUUGCAUCCCACUUUGGAAAAAUGGAGAAUAGAAAGCUGACAGUUGAUGUCUGUUGAAAUUGUAUAGUGGGCUGGAUGGAGUUAAUUGGACCAGUGUGUUUAGGUGUAUGAUAAUUGCAAUUUUAAAAUUGUACAAUUCUGACUUUAUUUAAUACCUGCCACUAUAAAAUUCUUAACUUAAAUUCUAUGCUGAAAACUUCUUCUGUUAACUUGCGACUUUAUAGCUGCACCCUACCAGUGGUAGCAUUAUAGAAUCUCUACUGGUGGCAAUGUAAUUAUAAAUAUAAAUUUUACAUCAAUUUGCAUCACAAAGGCCAAACCUAAGAAUUUAUAAUGGAAGAAAGUUGAUUUAAGUCUGAGACGAACGAGUUUUAAUAAUCAUAGAAAUGAGUCACAAUAAAACCUGUUGGAGCUUUAUUAAUGUGUCUUUGUUGGGUAUUGAAAUUCAAAUAAUAUCUUGAGCUUGAGGGUGCUUAUUACCUUAACAGACUUUUAUCUGUGCUUGUCACAAAAUAUGAUGUGGAAGUAUUUGGUUUUUGUGGAUUCAAGGCAUUAGUCGGGAGAAGGGCCUGCUUAAAUCACCUCCACAAAUGUGUAGUGAGAAGUCAGAAUUUUUGAAGAAAGAAUCUUUUGAAUGUAAAAACAUUGCUGUUAAAUGAGUCUUUUUAUUUUUGUAGAUACUUAGACUAGUAAAUAAGUGUUUUCUCAAUUCUUUGUAGAAAUUUUACUUCAAAUGUUGGUGAAAAGUGUAACUUAUACCAAAAAUCUGUAAUUCUGUUGUGCAUAAAGUAUGGAAAAUGUCUGUUUAUGUAAUACAUUCUAUGUUGAAAAUUGUAAUGAAUAAGUUGUAUUGAAAUUAUAUUUUAAAGCAUUAACAGAAUAAAUGUGCAAUGUACAUAUUUUUAUGUUUGUGCUGAUACCUGUGUUAAGAAUUUUAUGCUUCAUUUUUAUUCUGUCAUGGUCUGUGCAUUUUGUUUUUAUUUGUUCCUGGAAUGUGUCAUUGGUUAUGCCAGCAUUUGUUGCCUAUCCAAAUUUGUCUAGAGAAUUAUAUAGAUGAUAUUGUCCAAAUUUUUAAUUGCAUUCAGAAGUGAAGGGACAUUGAAAAGUUUGGUACUCAAGUAGCCCUUCUUUACAUGUGAUCCAGAAUAACUGUGUAGCAUGUAGCUCAUUGGAGACACAUGAAAUAUUGGAAAAAGCACCAAUGUCGGGUCAAUACAUGCCAGUCAACCAUGAAAAGCAUCUUUUGAUGACCAAUAGACAUUUAAGUAUCAUUGUAAUGUAGGAAAUGUGGCAGCUAACUGAUAUAAACAAAAAUAUGAUGAUAACCAGAUUUUUUGUGAUUGUCAAUUAAGGGAUAAAUAUUGGCCAGGACAUCACGGAUUACUCCAUUGUUCUUCAAAGUAGUGGCAUGGGAUCUUUCAUAUCCACUGCGCAGGCAGUUGUGAUUUUAAUUCAAUGUCUCAUCAGAAAGAUGAUGCCUUCAGCAGUGCAGUGCCUCCUCAGUAAUGUAUACUGGAGUGUCAGCCUUGAUUUUGAUUUUGGUCCUGGGAUGGAACUUGAAUCCUGCACCUUCUGAUUCAAAAGUGCAAGUGCUACCAACUGAGCCAUAACUGACGUUCUGUUAAGUUUAAAUUUAUUCACAAAUUAAAUAACAAGUCAAAUGAGUGAAAUUUUGAAACAACAUAAACAUAAAAACAAAAUUAGUUUCCAUCUACAAGAGAUUUAAGUUAGCCACUUUUGGAUUGUUUCUUGGUAUUUGAUAAGUGACAAGAUGAAACAAUCAAGUCUGUAUUUUGAUCAAUCUUCCAAAUUAAACACUGUAAAUGGUACCAAUAUCAGUGCAUCCACAAAUCUUCUAGCAGAAUGAAAAUUGAGCAACUAAAGCUGUCAUCAUGUCACAACAGUUUCAGUUCUAUAAACUAACAAUUUUACAGGUACAUUUUGUGAGGAAAUAUCAGUGCCUGAAUACCCAUUCCUUCCUCAAUACAUUUGCAUUGUUAGUUUUGCAAAGAGACCACAUUUUAUUUAUUCAAUGCUGCCAGUUUUCAUGGUAACUUUUUCAUCCAUGCAAAUGCAGUCAGUAUAAUGUUUCCCAGUGAAUAUGUCAUUUCAGUGGUAACCAGUAAUUGACCAAGGCUCCUUUGAUAGCAAAUUCCAAACCUGCAACCUCUGUUGUCUAGGAGGACAGGGCAGAUGAACAAGAACAUCAUCUGCAAGUUCUCCUCGGAACCAUGUACCAUUCUGACUUGAAAGCAUACCAGUGAGUGUGUAAAAAUUAACAUUGAACAUUACUUAAAAUUUUACUACAGGAAUAGAACUUGACAACACAGGCUGAAACUAAUAAAGGUAACUUUAAGCAAUAAAUCCAGAAAACAACUGUAAAUCUUGGGUCAGGUACCUAUUGUCUCCCCACAGGUGCUGCCUGACUUUUGUGCUAGAUUUUAGACCAAUAUGGUUAUGGUUGUUUAAAGUCAGAACUCACCUGAUGAAGGAGCAGUGCUCUGAAAGCUUGUGAUUUUAAAUAAACCUGUUGGACUAUAA